rnacentral:lncRNA from 1 species
AUGUCUUUCAAAAUGACACAGCUGGAGAAGAGAGGAGUAGUUGCCGGGGGAAGGGAUGGAGCUGGGUGGGAGUGGGGGGUUGGGGAGUCAUCGUGCUGGUGGAACGGUUCCAAGGCUCCACUAUGGCCUUGUCAGUGUCCUGGCUGUGCUAUUUUACUAGGGUUUUGCAAGAUGUCAUCUUUGAGAGACACCGGUUAAGUGUGUAGACGGUCUCCGGAUUAUUUCUUACAGCGGCAUGUGAAUCUCAAAAAGGUUUUAAUACAAAAAAAAAAAAAAGGGCUUCUCUAUAGCGAAAAUGUUCAAGCUUAGGACUCUGCUGAAUGAGCCAACAGUAAGUGUUUUCUUUUUUCUUUCUUUUUUUUUUUUUUUUUUUUGGUCUUUUUGCCAUUUCUUGGGCCGCUCCUGCGGCAUAUGGAGGUUCCCAGGCUAGGGGUCGAAUCGGAGCUGUAGCCACCGGCCUACGCCAGAGCCACAGCACCACAGGAUCCGAUCCGCGUCUGCAACCUACACCACAGCUCACGGCAACGCCGGAUCGUUAACCCACUGAGCAAGGCCAGGGACCGAACCCGCAACCUCAUGGUUCCUAGUCGGAUUUGUCAACCACUGAGCCACGACGGGAAUUCCGAGCCAACAGUAAAUUUCAUGCAUGUGGACCAGAAGUGUGUUCCAAUUGAAAUAUGCACAAUUAAAUGCCUGGGGAGUGAGAGGAGGCAACCAAUACAAGCGAAGCUUCACACCAAAACCAUUUGUGCUUCAACAUAAUUCUCCUUAGUUCCAGAAUCCCAGCUUACCCCCACCCCCCGGCACACACCCAUGCAAACACACCUUCCACCAACCUAGCCUGUCGGUGGGUCAUUUCGAAGGAGAGAGUCUCAUGAAGUGGUUUUGAUGGAAAAGAACAAAACAGGAGGGCCCCAAAGUGAGGAACCCACUCCCCGCUUGUAGCCAGAUGAGCAGAACCUCUCGGCCCAAGCUGACUCUGAAGAGCAAAGAGCCAAACCAAAAUAUCGCUCUUCACAGAACUCUUAGGAAGAGAAUUAUCUGCGUGUUCGAUCAGCACAGGUAGAGAAAUGUCAAUUAAUAGUCUGCAAAAAACCACAGCCAAUGGUGAAUCCCAAAGCUCCUGUGUCUGUGUGCACAGGUGCACAUGUGUGUGGGGGUGUGUGUGUGGGUGUGUGGGUGUGUGGGUGUGUGGGUG